ACUUUAGAGGAAAUCUUGGAGUAACAGAAAUUCUUUGUUUAAAAUAUUAGAAACCAAACACAUCAAAAAUUCAGGUGAGAUGUUUUGUGGUGAAAACUGAAGCACAGUUAUUUCUUCAGAAAUACAAAUUAAAGACUGGGCAUCUUGGUAGCACAUGCCUUCAAAUACAACCACUUGAGACUGGGAGAGUUACACUUCAUGGUCAGCCUGGGUGAAAAGUUAGUAAGACUUCAACCAACAAUCUGACUGUUG
rfam:Dipodomys ordii contig_26500, whole genome shotgun sequence.